UGAGCAUGUGGUUAAUUCGAAGCAACGCGAAGAACCUUACCAGGGCUUGACAUCCCUUGAAGCAGCUAGAGAUAGCUGUGUCCUUCGGGACAAGGAGACAGGUGGUGCAUGGUUGUCGUCAGCUCGUGUCGUGAGAUGUUGGGUUAAGUCCCGCAACGAGCGCAACCCCUGUGGUUAGUUGCCAGCAAGUAGCGUUGGGCACUCUAGCCAGACUGCCGGUGAUAAAUCGGAGGAAGGUGGGGACGACGUCAAAUCAUCAUGCCCUUUAUGUCCUGGGCUACACACGUACUACAAUGGCCGUUACAACGGGAAGCGAAGGAGCAAUCCGGAGCAAAUCCCUUAAAGGCGGUCCCAGUUCAGAUUGUGGGCUGAAACUCGCCCACAUGAAGGCGGGAUUGCUAGUAAUUGCCAGAUCAGCAUGCUGCAGUGAAUACGUUCCCGGGCCUU
rnacentral:rRNA from 1 species